CAGCCGCGGCCUUCAUAUUGGGCGUCAUCACGCCGCGACCAUGGAACCCGCGCCGCGGCGGGCGGGAGGAUGGCGGCGCGAGCGGUCGCGGCGGGGAAGGCGCUGCUGCGCGCUCAGUGCCGGCGCUCCCUCGGCGGGGCAGGUGGAAGAAAAAGAUGGGGUUCGCAAUUCAUAAACUCCCCAUACAGGUUUUAUUGUACUGGGAUGACCUUAGGUAACAUCAAUAAAGCACUUAUUGAUCGCAUAAUCAGAGUGGAUCAUGCAGGGGAAUUUGGGGCGAACCGCAUUUAUGCCGGGCAAAUGGCAGUGCUGGGCAGAUCUUCAAUAGGACCACUUAUUCGGCAAAUGUGGGAUCAGGAAAAGGACCAUUUGAAAAAAUUCAAUGAGUUAAUGAUCUUGUAUCGAGUCCGUCCAUCUGCUCUCUUGCCUUUUUGGAAUCUUACAGGUUUCCUGUUAGGUGCAGGCACUGCCUUACUUGGAAAAGAAGGUGCCAUGGCCUGCACUGUGGCCGUGGAAGACAGCAUCUCUCACCACUAUAACAACCAAAUCAGGACACUCAUGGAAGAAGAUCCAGAAAAAUAUAAAGAAUUAUUAGAGACAAUAAAAAAAUUCCGGGAUGAGGAGAUAGAACAUCACGACAUCGGGCUUGACCAUGAUGCAGAACUGUUCUGUCAGCCAAGUGGAAUGCAGAGGAGGAACGUGAAAGGGGGAAAGAGAAACUGCAUAGAACAGCGCUGCUGGAUCGGGCCAAAGUCCGUCUGGCUCAGAGCUGUUCGGGGUUUGAAGCCUGUGCAAACUUUGCUCUGGAAAUGAUCGUGGUUGCCAAGAAGGUUGCCUCUCUCUCUCCACUGGAGACGAGCGUCAUUUGACUUUCAGCAACGAUGCCUGAAAUCCCCAGGGCUCUGUGCCAAGAGCAACUGGUCCCGUAAUGGUGGCACUGAAGCAAGACGAUAAAUCAACCAAGGCUCAUCCUGCCCACGUCCUCUCUUGUUUUCGUGGCUGAGCUUAGAUUGUAAGCUCCUAAGGGCAGGGGCCUCCUGUCCUCUUUUCUUCAGAAAUAUGCCAUCUGUGCCAAGGGUCCGCUAUUGGAUUUUAUCAGGGCAAGGGCCCUCUGUGUCUCCUUGGCAUCCAUCCCUCAUCAGCUCAAGCCAGGCCGGUCAAUGAUCAAGGGUGAUGGGAGUUGUAGUCCAACAGUAAGUGGAGGGCUGUGAGUUCCUUGACCCUAAGAGCCACAUAAAUAAGUAAACUCUACCAAUCAA